UUUAGCGGCGGACGGGUGAGUAACACGUGGGCAACCUGCCCUGCAGAUCGGGAUAACUCCGGGAAACCGGUGCUAAUACCGAAUAGUUUUUUGCCCCUCCUGGGGCGAAACGGAAAGACGGUUUCGGCUGUCACUGCAGGAUGGGCCCGCGGCGCAUUAGCUAGUUGGUGGGGUAAUGGCCCACCAAGGCGACGAUGCGUAGCCGACCUGAGAGGGUGAUCGGCCACACUGGGACUGAGACACGGCCCANACUCCUACGGGAGGCAGCAGUAGGGAAUCUUCCGCAAUGGGACGCAAGUCUGACGGAGCAACGCCGCGUGAGUGACGAAGGUUUUCGGAUCGUAAAACUCUGUUGUGAGGGAAGAACAAGUAUCAACUAACUACUGGUACCUUGACGGUACCUCACC
rnacentral:rRNA from 1 species